AAAAAAUGGUUUUUCUGGAAAACAAAAUCCUUGAGUUAAGAGAGCUAUCAUAAUAUUUAACAUUUAAGCAGAACUCUCUUUCUCACCAAACUCUCUCAUUCCCAACUUUUUCCCUUUUUCUUUUCAUUGAGCUCAUCUUCAUGCUUUUUCUUAUUUUUUUCUUUUUCACAUGCAUUUUUCUUUUUCAACAAUUGAGCUCAAUGCUUCUUAAAAGCUUUCCAAUUUCCCCCAUGCAACCCCAAACUUGAACCUUUUCAUCAGAUACAAUUAAGCUCAUCCCAACUCAAGGUAAAGAAUUUCAAGACAAGGGUUCAUAUCCUGUUUAAGGCUAAGGUUCAAAAAGGGUAUAAUAUUUUAAGCUCUGUGGGUGAAAAUUUGGCUAGAGAAGGGCAUUCAAAACAAAUGGCCUUGAUCAUAUGACAUUCACAUGCAAUUUGAUCAAUCAUCAAGAUUAAGGCACUAUCAUUCAUGCUUUCCUGUGAACAAUUCAUAUAAUCAUAAAAACUCUGGAGCUCAAUACCUCACACAACAUGCUUUCUCACACAACAUUCAUUCAUCCAUCCUGCUUAGCAUCAGAACCACAAUCAUAAGUUAUCACACAUCUGUUUCACUGGCUAUCAACAUGCAACACUACUCAAUUAUGAAUCACAUCAAAUCAUCAUCAAAUAAGUUCAUCAUGCAAAUUAGUCAG
rnacentral:lncRNA from 1 species